rnacentral:rRNA from 1 species
GCUUAACUUAACAGUAUGCAAGAAAGACUACUGGACUAGGGACCGGGAGGCGUCAGAGGUAUUCCUGAGGGAGCGGUAAAAUGCUAUAAUCUCAGGAGGACCACCAGUGGCGAAAGCGUCUGAGGAGAACGGAUCCGACGGUGAGGGACGAAAGCUGAGGGAGCAAACCGGAUUAGAUACCCGAGUAGUCUUAGCUGUAAACGUUGCGAGCUAGGUGUUACAUAUUCUUCGGGAAUAUGUAGUGUCGAAGCGAAGGUGUUAAGCUCGCCGCCUGGGAAGUAUGGUCGCAAGGCUGAAACUUAAAGGAAUUGGCGGGGGAGCACUACAAGGGGUGCGGCGUGCGGUUUAAUCUAAUUCAACACAGAGAAUCUCACCAGAAGCGACGGCAGGAUGAAGGUCAGGUUAAAGGCCUUACCCAACGAGCCGAGAGGUAGUGCAUGGCCGUCGUCAGCUCGUGCCGUAAGGUGUCCUGUUAA